rnacentral:tRNA from 1 species
GAGGGUACAGCUCAGUGGUACAGUGAGUGUUUAGCAUGCACGAAGUCCUGGGUUCAAUCCCCAGUGCCUCUG